AAGGAAUAUUGGUCAAUGGAGGGAACUCUGAACCAGCCAUCCCGCGUGCAGGAUGAAGGGGCUCUGCCCUGUAAACUGCUUUUGAAUGGGACGAAAAAGCCUCACUUGUGAGGAACUGACGGUACCAUUAGAAUAAGCACCGGCUAACUCCGUGCCAGCAGCCGCGGUAAUACGGAGGGUGCAAGCGUUAUCCGGAAUCACUGGGUUUAAAGGGUGCGUAGGCGGUUGUAUAAGUCAGUGGUGAAAGGCCGUAGCUUAACUAUGGGAUUGCCAUUGAUACUGUAUGACUUGAAUGAGGUUGAGGUUGGCGGAAUGUGGCAUGUAGCGGUGAAAUGCUUAGAUAUGCCAUGGAACAUCGAUUGCGAAGGCAGCUGACUGGACCUGAAUUGACGCUGAGGCACGAAAGCGUGGGGAGCGAAC
rnacentral:rRNA from 1 species